rnacentral:rRNA from 1 species
CACGUAGGAGGCGAGCGUUGUCCGGAAUCAUUGGGCGUAAAGAGCGCGCAGGCGGCUUGGCAAGUCGGGUGUGAAAUCCCGGGGCUCAACCCCGUGACUGCAUUCGAUACUGUCAGGCUAGAGGUAGGUAGGGGAGAUCGGAAUUCCUGGUGUAGCGGUGAAAUGCGCAGAUAUCAGGAGGAACACCGGUGGCGAAGGCGGAUCUCUGGGCCUUACCUGACGCUCAGGCGCGAAAGCUAGGGGAGCAAACAGG